UACGUAGGGUGCAAGCGUUAUCCGGAAUUAUUGGGCGUAGAGAGCUCGUAGGCGGUUUGUCGCGUCUGCUGUGAAAACCCGAGGCUCAACCUCGGGCCUGCAGUGGGUACGGGCAGACUAGAGUGCGGUAGGGGAGAAUGGAAUUCCUGGUGUAGCGGUGAAAUGCGCAGAUAUCAGGAAGAACACCCGUGGCGAAGGCGGUUCUCUGGGACGGUACUGACGCUGAGACGCGAAAGCGUGGGGAGCGAACAGG
rnacentral:rRNA from 1 species